AUGGGUUUCUCUGGUGCUGUGCAAUGGUGGGAUGACUGGCAUCUGCGCAUCCUGGUGCUGGGCAGCCUCUUCAUCCAGUACUUCCUCUUCUUCUCCUCCUUGGUGCGGAGGCGUGCUCUUCCAGCUUGGUUCAGACUCUUCAUCUGGCUUGCCUAUCUAGGCGGCGAUGCUCUGGCGAUAUAUUCGCUGGCCACCCUCUUCAACCGCCACAGGCAGCCGCCCGGCGAUGGGAGCGGGAGCGGCCUGGAGGUCGUAUGGGCGCCUGUCCUCCUCAUCCACCUCGGCGGCCAGCACACCAUGACUGCCUACAGCAUCCAAGACAACGAGCUGUGGGUGCGGCAUGCCAUAACCGUGGCAUCCCAGAUCACCGUCGCCCUCUACGUCUUCUGUAUGUCGUGGUCUGGCGAGAAGAAGUUGCUGCAGGCCGCAAUCUUGAUGUUUGUCGUUGGGAUCAUCAGAUCCUGCCAGAAGCCAUGGGCUCUCCAGAGCGCCAGUAUCAGUGCCAUGGUUGCCUAUUUGUCUCCGUCCGCGCUAAGGAGACAAGGUAUGGUUGCACGUUUUUGGCAGGUCUGCACUUCCGGAUACAGCUAUGGAUCUAAGUCAACUAGAUUACCAGAAGCAGCAGCCGAAGAGAAGGACAUUUAUCUUCAAGAAUUUGCACAAGAAGCAAGAAAGUGCGUACUGGAGUCAGAGUUAGCCCAUGAUCAAGACGCAGCGGUAAAACUAGCUCAACACUGCUUGGUGGACAAGUAUGUCUACAGGCUACUUGCAGACAUACCAGUUCCAUACUCUAGUCGGAUUAAAAUCUUACGGGAAUUCAUUGCCCUUGAUUUCCGACAUGCACAUCACAUAUUGGACAUGAUGCUCCUUUCCUCCUUUGAGCACUGCUACACGAGAAAGACGAUGCUAAAUAGUGGCCUUGGCUUAUGUUCGUAUUUGUUGCUCCCAUUCCUAGCCUUAGCUUCUGUCAUCCUCUUCUCCAUAGGCCACAAAUACUACCAUGACUACAAUGCAACCGAUGUCAAGGUAACUUACAUCUUGUUCUCUUGUACGACGUUGCUAGAAGUCAUAAUUCUCUUGCUCGAUCCUUUCAUCAGUUUCACAGAAUCAGUCAAGGUUUCCCAGCAUAGCCUCUUGUCGUGUGGUUAUCGCGCCAAGCGGCCAACUGUUUUGAUGAAGCUUGCCACACUUGUCUCCUGCAAGGACUAUGUUAACAUGCAUUGUUAUAUAGAAGAAGCACCACCAGGAUGCUCUGCCCUAAUUUUACAGUUUGUUCAUGGAUAUGUGAGGGGUGGGUGGAAAGAGUACAUCCACAAUGCUGCUAGCUUCAGGAACUUCAAUGGCCGCAAGGGCCACUGGACUCUGAAGAAGAGGAGCCUUCCUCACUUGAGGUGGAGCUUGAACAUGGCGUUUGAUAGAAGCGUCCUGCUCUGGCACAUCACCACGGACCUCCUCUGUUAUGAUUACACCACCGCCGGUAACAUUCCUGAGUGCGCCACUGGGAGUGCGGUGAUAUCACGCUACAUGGCUUACCUGCUCUGCAUCCAUCCUGAGAUGCUGAUGCCCGGGACAAGGAACAGUAUCUUCAACGUUGCCUGCCAUAAUGUCGAGCUGAUACUGGGCGACAAGUCACCCUUGGGAAAUCUUGUCCACAAUGCAGUAAGACUUCAGAAAGAGUUGUUGGAGCUGCAGGACGAAGGGGAGAGGUGGGAGGUCGUCCAGGGGGUAUGGGUUGAGAUGCUAUGCUACUCUGCCUGUAAGUGCAGGGGAUACUUGCACGCCCAAAAAAUGAGCGAUGGUGUGGAACUCUUGUCCCGUGUCUGGCUACUCUUGUCAAACAUGGGGAUGGAGACAUUCGCAGACAGGUUUCAGAAGCCGUGGCACGUCAUGAUCAGAAAAGAAGCACCUGAUGAUGAUAAAGAAGAAGAAGGCCAUGAAGAUGGCGCCGGCAGAGAUGUCGACAACGAGAUUAACAUAUCUGUUGUCUAA
rnacentral:rRNA from 1 species